AUGAAUGAGCUAGAGUUCACUCUUCCUCUCUCAAACUCUCCAUCGCUCUCAUUCUGUACCAAACCCCUCUCAUUUUUCAGAACAACAACACCUAAACCGUACAGAAGCAUCACGAAAUAACACCGGUGAUGGAUUUUCAAACAAUGACAAACAAAUAAUGGUAAACAAUCGAACGCAUCAUGCAUAAAGAGAAAGUGAUAACCUGUGAACCCGCGGACGCGACGUCGACGUGAUCGAUUUGGCCUUCCUCUGAACUGCCUUCGCCUCCUUUUCUUCGUAGCGGUGGCUUCAGAUAGGGUUUCGAAUUUGGUCUAUGGAGAUCAAAAGGGGUUUAUGCCAAAAACACUUUUUGUGCCCAGUAUUGGAUUGGUCCCUUUGAUGUUUGAAUUUGGAACAGUAAAAAUAUUGAAGAUUCAAAAGCAGUUUCGAUUUUGAUCACAACUCUGGUUCACAGUUUCGGUUACGGUGAAUGAAAAUGUUCCGCCGGAGAUCUCCGAAAUUGAGUGCAUCGACGAGGCAUCAUGGUCUGCGCCAAAUCCAAAAGCAUGCACGGGAAUUUGAAAUCCCGAAUUAUCUCGACCACUGAUGGAAAUCGGCAGAAGCAAAUGAUAGUUUGGUUGAGGUUGGUCAUUUCCCGAGCUGCCAACAGUGUAAUUAUCUUGCCCAUCCGACAACAGAAUAAUAUUCGCAACUGGAUUCUUUUCUUUUCGGUGUUCCAUUAUCUUGGCACCUUUUCUCAGCUCUUCCGCAAUAUUGGUACCACCAUUUGCAACCAAAGAAUUAACAGCUUGUAAUGCCUGUUGCCGUCCAGAAUCAGUCAUCUUACAUAGUGGAAGGAGACGGCGAGCCGUGGAAGAGAAAACAAUAACAGAAAUCCCAUAGCCCUUUUUAGUAGUGCGAUCUUAGUUCCAGCCAGGCUACCACUGAUGUCAAGCAUGGUGACCAAGUCAAAUAGGGCACGCGGAGUCUGCGAGGUCCGUGUCAAGCUGGUUUGAUUUCUGCUAAGAUUUUGUCUUCUGGUAGAAGCAGCGGCUGCAGCAGUAGCUUUGAGAUGAACCAAAACUGUGAAGUUAGCACAAGUGUCGGACCUUGGAACGGAAGACACUUCAGGAAAUUGCAUUGUUGGUGAUGAUGGAGCUGGAAGCAUUCCAACAGAACUUUGCGGAAGACCGGCAGUCCUUGUUGGAGUCACUCAGAAGCUGAUUGCAGGUUGACUCAAGGAAUAGCAUCUCAAAAACUAUUGUCUGCCGCAACCACACGCUCAUACAUGGCUUCCGGUGCUCUGUUGGAGUUGAGUCUCCUGCAAAUGCAGUUCUUUCUCUCUAGUUGUAACAGGUUUGUCAAGUUUGGAAUUCUGCACAAAAUUGCAUUGGCCGCCGGUUGAUUUUAAUAACAGGUGCUUGGCUUGUAUUUUGAUGAGGCUGAAGCACAAUAGUCAGUUUAAGAAUUUAAUCGUCUUGAAAUGACUCCGGUGGGUCUUAGCAUGACGGUAACCGUACAUAUAUAAUCCUGUACUUCCAAACUCCUUUGCUUUGUCAAUGAGACCAGCUCUUCCAAAGAGAUGGUCCAUACAAGAAUAGUGCUUAAUCCUUGAAUUUAUUUGCGUAGACUUCUAUCAUUUGUCUAAAUAGCAAUUGCCCUUGUGUUACAAGACCGGAAUGAAUACAAGCUGUAGGUUUGAGGCCUGUUUAGAACCGCUACCAUUGUUACAUGAUCUGGCUUAAUAUUAUUAUUGAACUGAUGUACAAUUUGUUUUGUUUGCUUGGAAACCAAAACCUGCAGGUUUGAGGUAUGUGAAAUGACCGGAUUGCAGAUUGGUUCAGGUUGGAGAGGCUAUUGGUUGAAUUGAAACUGAAUUCUGUUAGAAACUCAGUUGGAAAAAACCGGUUAUCAAUUAUUGAAUAUUGGAUCAAUAUUGAAGGUUGAUUGUAAGGUCAUUAUGAGUGCUUUGGAGAUUAAAAAAAAAUCUGUUAUAGUGAAGAAGUCAUUUUGCUUUUAUUCCUGUUGUGGAAUUUUUUUUAUAUUUCCUUUUAAUUCCAACCAAUUAUUGUAAUGUAUUAGUCCUUAGGAUGUAAUAAGUUGUAAUAGUAUUUAGCUUAUGUAAAAUGAUUCACACAAUGCCAAAUCUCAUGUAAUGCAAUGCAUAUGGACAUGUUUAUGGGAUCA